rnacentral:rRNA from 1 species
AUUGGACGCUGGCGGCAGGCCUAACACAUGCAAGUCGAACGCGUGGCGGACGGGUGAGUAAUGUCUGGGAAACUGGCCGAUGGUGGGGGCUAACUACUGGAAACGGUAGCAAAUACAGCUUACCAUCGGAUGUUCCCAGAUGGGCUUAGCUAGUAGGUGGGGUAACGGCUCAACUAGGCGACGAUCCCUAGCUGGUCUGAGAGGAUGAACAGCCAAACGGGAAAUGAGACACGGGCCAGACUAAUACGGGAGGCAGCAGUGGGGAAGAUUGCACAAUGGGCGGAAGCCUGAUGCAGCCAUGCGGCGGGUAGGAGGAGGGCCGUCGGGGUGGAAAGUACUUUCAGCGGGGAGACGUUACCCGCAGAAGAAGCACCGGCUAACUCCGUGCCAGCAGCCGCGGUAAUUC